UGGGAUACUACCCUAAUUGUAUUGGAUUUCUAACCCGCAGCACUUAUCGUGCUGGGAGACAGUGUCAGGCGGGCAGUUUGACUGGGGCGGUCGCCUCCUAAAGAGUAACGGAGGCGCUCAAAGGUUCCCUCAGAAUGGUUGGAAAUCAUUCAUAGAGUGUAAAGGCAUAAGGGAGCUUGACUGCGAGACCUACAAGUCGAGCAGGGUCGAAAGACGGACUUAGUGAUCCGGUGGUUCCGCAUGGAAGGGCCAUCGCUCAACGGAUAAAAGCUACCCCGGGGAUAACAGGCUUAUCUCCCCCAAGAGUUCACAUCGACGGGGAGGUUUGGCACCUCGAUGUCGGCUCAUCGCAUCCUGGGGCUGUAGUCGGUCCCAAGGGUUGGGCUGUUCGCCCAUUAAAGCGGUACGCGAGCUGGGUUCAGAACGUCGUGAGACAGUUCGGUCCCUAUCCGUCGUGGGCGUAGGAAAUUUGAGAGGAGCUGUCCUUAGUACGAGAGGACCGGGAUGGACAUACCUCUGGUGUACCAGUUGUCGUGCCAACGGCAUAGCUGGGUAGCUAUGUAUGGACGGGAUAAGUGCUGAAAGCAUCUAAGCAUGAAGCCCCCCUCGAGAUGAGAUUUCCCAACUUCGGUUAUAAGAUCCCUCAAAGAUGAUGAGGUGAAUAGGUUCGAGGUGGAAGCGUAGCGAUACGUGGAGCUGACGAAUACUAAUCGAUCGAAGACUUAAUCAA
rnacentral:rRNA from 1 species